UCUACUGUGGCUCAGUUGGUAGAGCAUGGUGUUUGCAACACAAGGGUUGUGGGUUUGAUUCCCCACAGGGGAC
rnacentral:tRNA from 1 species